UGAGUAACGCGUAGAUAACCUGUCCAAGCGACUGGGAUAGCCCUUCGAAAGGGGGAUUAAUACCGGAUACGUCGGUUUUUCAUAAGAAUAAUCGAGAAAGGUGGCCUCUAUUUAUAAGCUAUCGCACAUGGAGGGGUCUGCGUACCAUUAGCUAGUUGGUGGGGUAAAAGCCUACCAAGGCAUCGAUGGUUAGCGGGUCUGAGAGGAUGAUCCGCCACACUGGCACUGAAACACGGGCCAGACUCCUACGGGAGGCAGCAGUGAGGAAUAUUGCGCAAUGGGGGAAACCCUGACGCAGUGACGCCGCGUGAGUGAAGAAGGUCUUCGGGUCGUAAAGCUCUGUCAGGUGGGAAGAAAUGCUUUAUGGUUAAUACCCAUAGAGUUUGACGGUACCACCAAAGGAAGCACCGGCUAAAUCCGUGCCAGCAGCCGCGGUAAUACGGAUGGUGCGAGCGUUGUUCGGAAUCACUGGGCGUAAAGGGCGCGUAGGCGGCCAAGCAAGUCAGAUGUGAAAGCCCACGGCUCAACCGUGGAAGUGCAUUUGAAACUGCUUGGCUUGAGUAUCAGAGGGGAAAGUGGAAUUCCCGGUGUAGAGGUGAAAUUCGUAGAUAUCGGGAGGAAUACCGGUGGCGAAGGCGACUUUCUGGCUGAAUACUGACGCUGAGGCGCGAAAGCGUGGGGAGCAAACAGGAUUAGAUACCCUGGUAGUCCACGCCGUAAACGAUGUCAACUAGGUGCAGGGGGGUUGAUCCCCUCUGUGUCGCAGCUAACGCAUUAAGUUGACCGCCUGGGGAGUACGGUCGCAAGAUUAAAACUCAAAGGAAUUGACGGGGGCCCGCACAAGCGGUGGAGUAUGUGGUUUAAUUCGAAUGCAACGCGAAGAACCUUACCUGGUCUUGACAUCCCGAAAAAGCCCUAGAAAUAGGGAAGUGCUCUCUUUGAGAGAAUUUGGUGACAGGUGCUGCAUGGCUGUCGUCAGCUCGUGUCGUGAGAUGUUGGGUUAAGUCCCGCAACGAGCGCAACCCUCGCCAUUAGUUGCCAUCAUUAAGUUGGGCACUCUAAUGGGACUGCCGGUGUCAAACCGGAGGAAGGUGGGGAUGACGUCAAGUCCUCAUGGCCUUUAUGACCAGGGCUACACACGUACUACAAUGGCCGACACAAAGGGCAGCCACAGAGCGAUCUGGAGCGAAUCCCGUAAAGUCGGUCUCAGUCCGGAUUGGAGUCUGCAACUCGACUCCAUGAAGUUGGAAUCGCUAGUAAUCGUGGAUCAGCAUGCCACGGUGAAUACGUUCCCGGGCCUUGUACACACCGCCCGUCACACCACGGGAGUUGGUUGUACCAGAAGCGGUUGAGCUAACCUUCGGGAGGCAGGG
rnacentral:rRNA from 1 species